AGCGAACGCUGGCGGCAGGCCUAACACAUGCAAGUCGAACGAACUCUUCGGAGUUAGUGGCGGACGGGUGAGUAACACGUGGGAACGUGCCUUUAGGUUCGGAAUAACUCAGGGAAACUUGUGCUAAUACCGAAUGUGCCCUUCGGGGGAAAGAUUUAUCGCCUUUAGAGCGGCCCGCGUCUGAUUAGCUAGUUGGUGAGGUAAAGGCUCACCAAGGCGACGAUCAGUAGCUGGUCUGAGAGGAUGAUCAGCCACAUUGGGACUGAGACACGGCCCAAACUCCUACGGGAGGCAGCAGUGGGGAAUCUUGCGCAAUGGGCGAAAGCCUGACGCAGCCAGGCCGCGUGAAUGAUGAAGGUCUUAGGAUUGUAAAAUUCUUUCACCGGGGACGAUAAUGACGGUACCCGGAGAAGAAGCCCCGGCGAACUUCGU
rnacentral:rRNA from 1 species